UACGUAGGGUGCAGGCGUUAAUCGGAAUUACUGGGCGUAAAGCGUGCGCAGGCGGUUUGCUAAGAGAGAUGUGAAAUCCCCGGGCUUAACCUGGGAACUGCGUUUCUAACUGGCAGGCUUGAGUGUGGCAGAGGGGGGUGGAAUUCCACGUGUAGCGGUGAAAUGCGUAGAUAUGUGGAGGAACACCGAUGGCGAAGGCAGCCCCCUGGGCUAACACUGACGCUCAUGCACGAAAGCGUGGGGAGCAAACAGG
rnacentral:rRNA from 1 species